AGGCCUAACACAUGCAAGUCGAACAGGCACCUUCGGGUGUCAGUGGCAGACGGGUGAGUAACGCGUGGGAACGUGCCUUCUGGUUCGGAAUAACUCAGGGAAACUUGAGCUAAUACCGGAUACGCCCUUUUGGGGAAAGGUUUACUGCCGGAAGAUCGGCCCGCGUCUGAUUAGCUAGUUGGUGGGGUAACGGCCUACCAAGGCGACGAUGACUAGGGGAGCUGAGAGGCUGGUCCCCCACACGGGCACUGAGAUACGGGCCCGACUCCUACGGGAGGCAGCAGUAGGGAAUAUUGGGCAAUGGACGAGAGUCUGACCCAGCCAUGCCGCGUGCAGGAAGAAGGCUUUCUGAGUCGUAAACUGCUUUUGACAGGGAAGAAUAAGCUGCUCGUGAGCAGUGAUGACGGUACCUGCAGAAUAAGCACCGGCUAACUCCGUGCCAGCAGCCGCGGUAAU
rnacentral:rRNA from 1 species